GGAUAUGAGGGCAAUCUGGCUGCGACAUCUGUCACUCCACUGAUCACCAGGGUUAGUUCAGCUGAUCUGGCUGGCUAGGAAGGUGUCCCUUUCCUCCCUCACCACUCCACAUGCGUUCCUUCAAAAGCUGCACGCUCAAACAGGAAGGAAGACCAUCAUCCCCAACAGAGGAGGACUGUUUUUGGUCAAGAGUAUACGAGUAGCUAUGCUCCCCUGAUAGAACCUCCAAACAAGCUCUCAAGGAAAGUAUUCACACAAUGAACAAAAAGACAGGAAACCUCAGCAGAGGUAAAGCAGCUAAACAGAAUUUCAGAACUGAGAAUGAUUUGAUGUAAAAAAAUUUUCACUG
rnacentral:snRNA from 1 species